rnacentral:rRNA from 1 species
AACGACUCUCGGCAACGGAUAUCUCGGCUCUCGCAUCGAUGAAGAACGUAGCAAAAUGCGAUACUUGGUGUGAAUUGCAGAAUCCCGUGAACCAUCGAGUCUUUGAACGCAAGUUGCGCCCGAAGCCUUCCGGCCGAGGGCACGUCUGCCUGGGCGUCACGC